UCCACCAGAGAAGAUGGCUCUUGAUCCU
rnacentral:piRNA from 1 species